rnacentral:rRNA from 1 species
CGGGGGGCAGCAGUGGGGAAUAUUGGACAAUGGGGGGAACCCUGAUCCAGCCAUGCCGCGUGUGUGAAGAAGGCCUUUUGGUUGUAAAGCACUUUAAGCAGUGAAGAAGACCUAACGGUUAAUACCCGUUAGCGAUGACAUUAGCUGCAGAAUAAGCACCGGCUAACUCUGUGCCAGCAGCCGCGGUAAUACAGAGGGUGCAAGCGUUAAUCGGAAUUACUGGGCGUAAAGCGAGCGUAGGUGGCUUGAUAAGUCAGAUGUGAAAUCCCCGGGCUUAACCUGGGAACUGCAUCUGAUACUGUUAAGCUAGAGUAGGUGAGAGGGAAGUAGAAUUCCAGGUGUAGCGGUGAAAUGCGUAGAGAUCUGGAGGAAUACCGAUGGCGAAGGCAGCUUCCUGGCAUCAUACUGACACUGAGGCUCGAAAGCGUGGGUAGCAAACAGGAUUAGAUACCCCCGU